rnacentral:rRNA from 1 species
UAGUGGCGGACGGGUGAGUAACGCGUGAACAAUCUGCCCCGUACAAAGGGAUAGCCUCGGGAAACCGGGAUUAAAACCAUAUAACACUUAACUGCCGCAUGGUAGUGAAGUCAAAUCGAUUAAGAGGUAUGGGAUGAGUUCGCGUCUGAUUAGCUAGUUGGUGAGGUAAGGGCUCACCAAGGCGACGAUCAGUAGCCGGCCUGAGAGGGUGAACGGCCACACUGGAACUGAGACACGGUCCAGACUCCUACGGGAGGCAGCAGUGGGGAAUAUUGCACAAUGGAGGGAACUCUGAUGCAGCGACGCCGCGUGAGUGAAGAAGGUCUUCGGAUCGUAAAACUCUGUCCUUGGUGAAGAAAAGGACGGUAGCCAAGGAGGAAGCCCCGGCUAACUACGUGCCAGCAGCCGCGGUAAUACGUAGGGGGCGAGCGUUGUCCGGAUUUACUGGGCGUAAAGGGUGAGUAGGCGGUUAUAUAUGUCAGGUGUAAAAAGCUAUGGCUUAACCAUAGUAAGCACUUGAAACUGUAUGACUUGAGUGCAGGAGAGGUAAGCGGAAUUCCUAGUGUAGCGGUGAAAUGCGUAGAUAUUAGGAGGAACACCGGUGGCGAAGGCGGCUUACUGGACUGUAACUGACGCUGAGUCACGAAAGCGUGGGUAGCAAACAGGAUUAGAUACCCUGGUAGUCCACGCUGUAAACGAUGAGUGCUAGGUGUUGGGUAGCGAUAUUCAGUGCCGGAGUAAACACAAUAAGCACUCCGCCUGGGGAGUACGGUCGCAAGACUGAAACUCAAAGGAAUUGACGGGGACCCGCACAAGCAGCGGAGCAUGUGGUUUAA